CCUACGGGGGGCAGCAGUGGGGAAUAUUGCACAAUGGGCGAAAGCCUGAUGCAGCGACGCCGCGUGAGGGAUGACGGCCUUCGGGUUGUAAACCUCUUUCAGCAGGGAAGAAGCUUUUUGUGACGGUACCUGCAGAAGAAGCACCGGCUAACUACGUGCCAGCAGCCGCGGUAAUACGUAGGGUGCGAGCGUUGUCCGGAAUUAUUGGGCGUAAAGAGCUCGUAGGCGGUUUGUCGCGUCUGCUGUGAAAACUCGGGGCUUAACUCCGAGCCUGCAGUGGGUACGGGCAGACUAGAGUGUGGUAGGGGAGACUGGAAUUCCUGGUGUAGCGGUGGAAUGCGCAGAUAUCAGGAGGAACACCGAUGGCGAAGGCAGGUCUCUGGGCCACUACUGACGCUGAGGAGCGAAAGCAUGGGGAGCGAACAGGAUUAGAUACCCU
rnacentral:rRNA from 1 species